GACGUGCUAAUCUGCGAUAAGCGUCGGUAAGGUGAUAUGAACCGUUAUAACCGGCGAUUUCCGAAUGGGGAAACCCAGUGUGUUUCGACACACUAUCAUUAACUGAAUCCAUAGGUUAAUGAGGCGAACCGGGGGAACUGAAACAUCUAAGUACCCCGAGGAAAAGAAAUCAACCGAGAUUCCCCCAGUAGCGGCGAGCGAACGGGGAGCAGCCCAGAGCCUGAAUCAGUGUGUGUGUUAGUGGAAGCGUCUGGAAAGGCGUGCGAUACAGGGUGACAGCCCCGUACACAAAAAUGCACAUGCUGUGAGCUCGAUGAGUAGGGCGGGACACGUGGUAUCCUGUCUGAAUAUGGGGGGACCAUCCUCCAAGGCUAAAUACUCCUGACUGACCGAUAGUGAACCAGUACCGUGAGGGAAAGGCGAAAAGAACCCCGGCGAGGGGAGUGAAAAAGAACCUGAAACCGUGUACGUACAAGCAGUGGGAGCACGCUUAGGCGUGUGACUGCGUACCUUUUGUAUAAUGGGUCAGCGACUUAUAUUCUGUAGCAAGGUUAACCGAAUAGGGGAGCCGAAGGGAAACCGAGUCUUAACUGGGCGUUAAGUUGCAGGGUAUAGACCCGAAACCCGGUGAUCUAGCCAUGGGCAGGUUGAAGGUUGGGUAACACUAACUGGAGGACCGAACCGACUAAUGUUGAAAAAUUAGCGGAUGACUUGUGGCUGGGGGUGAAAGGCCAAUCAAACCGGGAGAUAGCUGGUUCUCCCCGAAAGCUAUUUAGGUAGCGCCUCGUGAAUUCAUCUCCGGGGGUAGAGCACUGUUUCGGCAAGGGGGUCAUCCCGACUUACCAACCCGAUGCAAACUGCGAAUACCGGAGAAUGUUAUCACGGGAGACACACGGCGGGUGCUAACGUCCGUCGUGAAGAGGGAAACAACCCAGACCGCCAGCUAAGGUCCCAAAGUCAUGGUUAAGUGGGAAACGAUGUGGGAAGGCCCAGACAGCCAGGAUGUUGGCUUAGAAGCAGCCAUCAUUUAAAGAAAGCGUAAUAGCUCACUGGUCGAGUCGGCCUGCGCGGAAGAUGUAACGGGGCUAAACCAUGCACCGAAGCUGCGGCAGCGACGCUGAUGCGUUGUUGGGUAGGGGAGCGUUCUGUAAGCCUGCGAAGGUGUGCUGUGAGGCAUGCUGGAGGUAUCAGAAGUGCGAAUGCUGACAUAAGUAACGAUAAAGCGGGUGAAAAGCCCGCUCGCCGGAAGACCAAGGGUUCCUGUCCAACGUUAAUCGGGGCAGGGUGAGUCGACCCCUAAGGCGAGGCCGAAAGGCGUAGUCGAUGGGAAACAGGUUAAUAUUCCUGUACUUGGUGUUACUGCGAAGGGGGGACGGAGAAGGCUAUGUUGGCCGGGCGACGGUUGUCCCGGUUUAAGCGUGUAGGCUGGUUUUCCAGGCAAAUCCGGAAAAUCAAGGCUGAGGCGUGAUGACGAGGCACUACGGUGCUGAAGCAACAAAUGCCCUGCUUCCAGGAAAAGCCUCUAAGCAUCAGGUAACAUCAAAUCGUACCCCAAACCGACACAGGUGGUCAGGUAGAGAAUACCAAGGCGCUUGAGAGAACUCGGGUGAAGGAACUAGGCAAAAUGGUGCCGUAACUUCGGGAGAAGGCACGCUGAUAUGUAGGUGAAGCGACUUGCUCGUGGAGCUGAAAUCAGUCGAAGAUACCAGCUGGCUGCAACUGUUUAUUAAAAACACAGCACUGUGCAAACACGAAAGUGGACGUAUACGGUGUGACGCCUGCCCGGUGCCGGAAGGUUAAUUGAUGGGGUCAGCGCAAGCGAAGCUCUUGAUCGAAGCCCCGGUAAACGGCGGCCGUAACUAUAACGGUCCUAAGGUAGCGAAAUUCCUUGUCGGGUAAGUUCCGACCUGCACGAAUGGCGUAAUGAUGGCCAGGCUGUCUCCACCCGAGACUCAGUGAAAUUGAACUCGCUGUGAAGAUGCAGUGUACCCGCGGCAAGACGGAAAGACCCCGUGAACCUUUACUAUAGCUUGACACUGAACAUUGAGCCUUGAUGUGUAGGAUAGGUGGGAGGCUUUGAAGUGUGGACGCCAGUCUGCAUGGAGCCGACCUUGAAAUACCACCCUUUAAUGUUUGAUGUUCUAACGUGGACCCGUGAUCCGGGUUGCGGACAGUGUCUGGUGGGUAGUUUGACUGGGGCGGUCUCCUCCUAAAGAGUAACGGAGGAGCACGAAGGUUGGCUAAUCCUGGUCGGACAUCAGGAGGUUAGUGCAAUGGCAUAAGCCAGCUUGACUGCGAGCGUGACGGCGCGAGCAGGUGCGAAAGCAGGUCAUAGUGAUCCGGUGGUUCUGAAUGGAAGGGCCAUCGCUCAACGGAUAAAAGGUACUCCGGGGAUAACAGGCUGAUACCGCCCAAGAGUUCAUAUCGACGGCGGUGUUUGGCACCUCGAUGUCGGCUCAUCACAUCCUGGGGCUGAAGUAGGUCCCAAGGGUAUGGCUGUUCGCCAUUUAAAGUGGUACGCGAGCUGGGUUUAGAACGUCGUGAGACAGUUCGGUCCCUAUCUGCCGUGGGCGCUGGAGAACUGAGGGGGGCUGCUCCUAGUACGAGAGGACCGGAGUGGACGCAUCACUGGUGUUCGGGUUGUCAUGCCAAUGGCACUGCCCGGUAGCUAAAUGCGGAAGAGAUAAGUGCUGAAAGCAUCUAAGCACGAAACUUGCCCCGAGAUGAGUUCUCCCUGACUCCUUGAGAGUCCUGAAGGAACGUUGAAGACGACGACGUUGAUAGGCCGGGUGUGUAAGCGCAGCGAUGCGUUGAGCUAACCGGUACUAAUGAACCGUGAGGCUUAACCUU
rnacentral:rRNA from 1 species